AUGUUCUACUACGGCCUGGAUUUCCAUGAUCUGGCCCCGAAUUUCAUCCUCAACAUCUCGGCGUUUAUUGUCGUGUGCGAGGCUUUCCUCUGCAUCCAGCUCCACUUCGGCUUGUGGCUCAAGACCUUCAGUGUCAAGCCGAAGGUUGUGAAGGGCAGCCAAGCGGAGUGCGGAGGCGCCAUGGUGGGCAGGAUGUCCCACGUUACUUGGCUGGAGGGCACUUUCGUGGAAACCAUUAAGGGGUGGCAAUCGGGGUGGUUCUACAUCAUUGAGCCGCGUGACCCUGACUGGGCAGCGGUCCCCGAAUUCAAAUCUGGCAUCCCCACACGGCUCACUUCCUGGAAAGAGAGUGGCCGGAUCUGGGGUGAUUCGGAGGAGCUGACCGGACUCCAAGCCUGUAUCCAAAAGCUGGUGGACAAGAAGCUCAAGCUUGUCAACAUAGUCCAGGUCAUGCUCAUCCGCCGGAUUCUCCCGUGCCAACGACGGGGUUUCAACAUGUGGGAGUUCGAUCCGGCCCAGCACCAGACCCUGAGCGGGCUCUUCGACACUACGUAUGAAGAUGUCUGGAAGGUGCUAUUCAAGGGCGCCGAGGCUCCCGCAUCCGCUACCGAAGAUCGCGGAUUCAGCUCGCAGCGUCCGGCUGACGAGGUAAGUGAUUUUGUCCUUUACGGAACGCUCGUUUUCCAUAGUUUGACUCUAUGCGGGAUCUAA
rnacentral:rRNA from 1 species